AAGAAAAUGGCUCCUCCCCCAAAGGAGGUGGAAGAAGACAGUGAAGACGAAGAAAUGUCAGAAGAUGAAGAAGAUGACAGCAGUGGAGAAGAGGUUGUAAUCCCUCAGAAAAAAGGCAAGAAGGCUACCACAACUCCAGCAAAGAAGGUAGUUGUUUCACAAA